UUUUGGUGUCUCCUCCGUUCGUUUUGUUGCUGUUUUAUUUAUUUCUACGCGCGUGCCAUUUUCACGAUUGUGUGUGUCUCCACACGAUUUUCCGAACUGUAUUUAUUGUAUUAUUUGUAUGCUUGAUAUUUUCGUAUUUGUUUUUAGCUUCAACAGCGCAAACUAAUUCAUUUUCUCUUGCCUUCGCCCGUUUGCUUCAUUGUGAAAAUGUAUUUUUAAGCUGCUGCUGCUUCUGCUCCUCUGCUGCUGCUGAUGCUGCGGCUGCUGCUGAUUCUGCUUCUGCUGCUGCUGCGGCUGCUGAUGACAAUGACAACGUUGACGACGGCUGCGACGAAUAGGACGACGGCGACGAGCACUGCGCUCCGCUGGCAGACAUUAUGGGAACACGACCGAAUGGAUACUGGGCCACCGCACGCUAAAAGGCCGUCAGAAAAGCAUAGCAUCGCUCAGGCUGGGGCACACACACACACACGCACACACACAUGCUCUCCGCUCGCUUUCGUUCGCGCUCUUCUGCUCUAUUUGUGCUUUGCAAAGCAAAAAGGGUGGCAAGCUGGCGACCGAGUCCGAGUGCGUAAAAGCUUCGCGGAAAACAGGUUAAAGCAUGUGGCUCCCGCGACCCGCUUAGAGUCAUUACCUUUACUCUCUCCCUCUCUCUCUCUCUCGUUCUACCACUCCUUGUCUCUUUUGCUUCCUUUACUGUAUUAUGCCCCAGAGCCAAAAUGCGCACGAUUUGCUUUUGGGGUGGCAUUUCUCAUCGCUGUGUUGUCCUUCCUGGUGCGUGUAUUUCUGCAGUUGUUGUUGUUGUUGUUACUGGGCAUCAUCUUUGCCUAUCUAUACAUCGUUUUGGCUUCGAAGCAGGCCACGACAAGACCUUGGAGUAGCCUCUAUGUAUGCACGCAUAUUGUACACAUGUAUGUGUGUAUGCAUGUGUGUAUGUGUGUGUGCGUGUGUGCGUGUGUGUGCGUGCCAAACAGGAAUGUUUAUCGCAAAAGUUUGUUGCGUGCAAUCAAAAACUUUACGAUUUCCUAGCACAAAGCUAUUUAAUGCUCAAUACAAGCUCAGAUUGAAUGCUAAUUAUGCAUCUAAUUCCAAAUCAAAAAUAAAGCCAGAUAAAGCCAAACAUUCAAUUUAAAAGCCAA